GACGAACGCUGGCGGCGUGCUUAACACAUGCAAGUCGAGCGGUAAGGCCCUUUCGGGGGUACACGAGCGGCGAACGGGUGAGUAACACGUGGGUGACCUGCCCUCAGCUCUGGGAUAAGCCUGGGAAACUGGGUCUAAUACUGGAUAUGACUCCACGGUGCAUGUCGUGGGGUGGAAAGCCUUGUGCGGCUGAGGAUGGGCCCGCGGCCUAUCAGCUUGUUGGUGGGGUGANGGCCUACCAAGGCGACGACGGGUAGCCGGCCUGAGAGGGCGACCGGCCACACUGGGACUGAGACACGGCCCAGACUCCUACGGGAGGCAGCAAUGGGGAAUCUUGCGCAAUGGGCGAAAGCCUGACGCAGCGACGCCGCGUGAGGGAUGACGGCCU
rnacentral:rRNA from 1 species